rnacentral:rRNA from 1 species
ACGCUAGCGACGUGCCUAAGGUAUGCAAGUCGAGGGUGUCUUCGGAACGCCCGGCAGACGGCUGAGUAACACGUGGGAAUCUCCCCUAAACACUGAAAUAACCCAUCGAAAGGUGGGACAAUGUCAGAUACUCUACAAAUCAUUCGUGGUUUGUAGCAAAGCUCCGGCGGUUUAGGAUGAGCCCGCGGCCUAUCAGGUUGUUGGUGGGGUAAUUGCCUACCAAGCCUAUGACGGGUAGCUGAUCUGAGAGGAUGAUCAGCCAGACUGGGAUUGCGAUACGGCCCAGACUCCUACGGGAGGCAGCAACUAGGAAUCAUGCGCAAUGGACGAAAGUCUGACGCUGCGACGUCGCGUGAAGGAUGAAGGUCUUAGGAUCGUAAACUUCUUUUAUUGGGGAACAAAGUUUCUGAGUGUACCCAAUGAAUAAGUGCCUGCUAACCACGUGCCAGAAGCAUCGGUAAUGCGUGGGGCACAAGCGUUAUCCGGAUUUACUGGGCGUAAAGAGAUGCGUAGGCGUCUCGAAAAGUUUCGUGUCAAAUCUUUCGGCUCAACCGAAAAACCGCACGGAAAACUUUCGAGAUUGAGAUAAGUAAAGGAGAGGGGAAUUCCUGGUGGAGCGGUUAAAUGCGUUGAUAUCAGGAGGAAUACCCAAGGCGAAGGCACCUCUCUGGACUUAUUCUGACGCUGAGGCUCGAAAGCGUGGGGAGCAAAACGGAUUAGAUACCCGUGUAGUCCACGCUGUAAACGAUCCCUGCUAGAUGU